UACUCACAACUAGUAAAAAAAAUCAUGUUUCUAUAGAUUAUAAGAUGUUGGAAUAUAUAUGAAGAAAUUACCGAACUUUUAACAGUUAAUUGUUUUAUAAUUUCAGGAACAAAAAUGGAAAUUUAGAAUGUAGACUGGGCGAAUAUGACACUUACCAUGUGAAGAAUUUACAUGAAUUACCUUCAUGAAGUCACAAAUACAGGGAACAGAAGAGUUUGAUAGUGUGUCGAGUGCGUCUAAAGCGACAAUAAAUGCAACAUCAUUGACAUCUAGUACAACCUCUUCAGCUAUAUCAUCCACUGGUACGACUGUGAUCAGCAGUACGACAACAAAAAUCUCAACGUUGCCGUCUGCUACAGCUGCUUCAUCCAAAGCCCCACCCAACUUGCCACCAGGUGUACCUUUAAUG